CACUCCUCGGGAGGCAGCAGUGGGGAAUAUUGCACAAUGGGCGCAAGCCUGAUGCAGCCAUGCCGCGUGUAUGAAGAAGGCCUUCGGGUUGUAAAGUACUUUCAGCGGGGAGGAAGGCGAUAAGGUUAAUAACCUUGUCGAUUGACGUUACCCGCAGAAGAAGCACCGGCUAACUCCGUGCCAGCAGCCGCGGUAAUACGGAGGGUGCAAGCGUUAAUCGGAAUUACUGGGCGUAAAGCGCACGCAGGCGGUCUGUCAAGUCGGAUGUGAAAUCCCCGGGCUCAACCUGGGAACUGCAUUCGAAACUGGCAGGCUAGAGUCUUGUAGAGGGGGGUAGAAUUCCAGGUGUAGCGGUGAAAUGCGUAGAGAUCUGGAGGAAUACCGGUGGCGAAGGCGGCCCCCUGGACAAAGACUGACGCUCAGGUGCGAAAGCGUGGGGAGCAAACAGGAUUAGAAACCCGAGUAGUCCCAUGAU
rnacentral:rRNA from 1 species